GUGGGUGUAGCUCAACGGCAGAGCACUGGACUGUGGCUCCAGGUGUUGUGGGUUCGAAACCCAUCACCCACCCCA
rnacentral:tRNA from 2 species